rnacentral:misc_RNA from 1 species
GUAAGAUCAUCCCCCAUUGCAUCUAAUACAUAAGCAAGCAUACUAGCGGUGGUAGUCUUCCCAUGGCUCCCGCUGACAGCAAUGAGGUUGUAACCUUUGGUGAUCCUACCCAACCAAGCUCCUCGCUUGUACACAGGUAUUCCAACAGACUCGGCAUGUAAAAUCUCCACAUUGCCCCCACGAAUCGCACUUGACACAAUAAGGGCAUCAGGCACCAACCCAUUAUUCUUUCUCAAGUUAAGCUCAGAAUGGCCUAUAUACACUCGGGCACCUGCUUCUCGCAAUGCGUCCAUGGCAUCGCUCCACAUCAUAUCAGAACCACUGACCUCAUAACCUUGUUUGAG